CCCGCUCAAGAACUAAAGGAAUGACGGGGCCCGCACAAGCGGUGGAGCAUGUGGUUUAAUUCGAUGAUACGCGAGGAACCUUACCUGGGCUCAAAUGUAUGUUGACGUAUUCUGAAAGGGAUACUUCUUCGGACAAUAUACAAGGUGCUGCAUGGUUGUCGUCAGCUCGUGCCGUGAGGUGUCGGGUUAAGUCCCAUAACGAGCGCAACCCCUAUCAUUAGUUGCCAUCAGGUCAAGCUGGGGACUCUAAAGGAACUGCCUACGCAAGUAGUGAGGAAGGCGGGGAUGACGUCAAAUCAGCACGGCCCUUACGUCCAGGGCUACACACGUGCUACAAUGGCCGAUACAGAGGGCAGCUACCUGGUGACAGGAUGCAAAUCUCCAAAGUCGGUCUCAGUUCGGAUCGGAGUCUGCAACCCGACUCCGUGAAGUUGGAUUCGCUAGUAAUCGCGCAUCAGCCAUGGCGCGGUGAAUACGUUCCCGGGCCUU
rnacentral:rRNA from 1 species